CCCAAUUCUGAAAAAGAAAAAAAAGAGAAAUUGUUCCUCCCUGAAGCACACUGACACACGCUCCCUUUCGGCUCUCCACCCCUGCUCCUCUGUCCCGUAACCACCCCCAACCACGUACCUUUUCACUCCCAACUCCAUUACCUCCAGAUCCAGGAUUCACCUCUGACCAUUUUUUCUCCAUUGCCUUCAACACCCAUCAGCUUCAUCCGAGGCCUCCAUAACCUUGGAGCUACACCUCCGUUCUUUUCACACAGCGUCUUCGUUAUCACCCUUCAUAAUUCCUCACCAAACCAGGAUUCACCUCACACACUCCUAUCACAUUCUUACAUUUCACCUCUAUAGCAUCACGCGCAUCACACCAAUAACCCAUAUCCCCCACCUACCACGCACAACCUCAGAUCACCUUCACCAUUUUUAUUCACUGAAUUCAUCAUCCAUCAUUGACCGCACACACAACUCUCAAUUCCUUUAUUCACUCGCAUAGCGCCUUCCUCAUCAUUAGUGCAUCUUUCAUUUUCCCUCCCAUCUUCUUCAGCACAGUCAAAGCCAGAGAACCCAUCAUUUUCCCACCUUCCAUUCACACAUCAGGACCCUCACCCUCAACCUACAAAACCAAAUCACAUUAUUUGCUCCGGUAUUCACUCACUUACACUCGCAUCAUUCGCACACAGAAUAUAGAAUAUCGGAACAAAACGUCGCACACACCCAGAGUUAGUCAAUGGUGGAUUUGCCACAAUCAAUCUCAGCGAGUGGUGCGUCCUUUGGAGUUUCUUCUGUCUCAGCAGCAAAGGAUCGAAGAAUAGCGUCUGUGGAGCAUUACGAGCCAGUCUAGAGGGGAGGAAGGUUGUGGUGUUGGGAGUAGCGAAAGCGAAGAAGGAGAAGACGUUGGAGAGCAUAUGGAGGAUGCUAACGGAGGGGCGAGCAAUGUCGUUAACUAGGCAUUUGAAGAAGGCGGAGACGUGGGAGACGCAGGGGACGCCGUUGAGGGAUUUGAACGGUGGACCUGUGAUGCAGAAAUCAGAGACGUUUGUUGGGAGGGAGAAAAAACGCGUCGACGGGGCUGAGGAAAGAGCCAUCGCUGAAUCGGGAAUAAUUGAACCGCCUCGCUUGGGUCCGCUGCUAGUUUCCUCUCAAGUCAGAUCUUAUACCUUCUUCUACCGUUCCCGGCAUAAAUGAGGGUAAUCCCCUUCCGUUCUCAGAUCUGUGAGUUUUUGUAUGAGAUGGAAUGAAGCCUAUCUAGAAGUUGGUGGUGAGACACGUUUCAAUGGGAGGAAAGAUAUUUUUGGUUGUUAAAGUAAAUUCAAGGGAUUCGUUCAUUGAUUUUGUAACUUGAUUCGUUUUAUGAAUUGUACUGGUUAGAUUAAGUAUAAUUUUGUGCUUUAUUCGUUGUUUUCUUUUCUUGUUUUCUCUUGUUCACUGGUGGCAUGUUCGUGAUUAUUUAAACGUGAAUUUUCUCUGUCUGUGUCGAUUUCAUGGAUGGAUGGGUUCGUGCAUUUUCUAAGUUUAUUUUUGUGGUUACUGAGUUUAUGUUUGAUGGGAUAUUCUCUACUUUUGUGUUGAUGGAUGGGAUCCCUGCAACAUUCAAUUUAAUAAAACUUAUUUUCAUCUAAAAAAAACAAGUCAUAAAAAUGGUAAAAA